rnacentral:lncRNA from 1 species
CGGAAGAUUCCACUGUGCAGCUGGAUCACAGCCCUCAGGGUCUCGGAAACCAGUUCUACCACUUCAACAGCCAGCACUGCCUUGAAUGUGAAGGACACAGUGAAAAAAGGACCUGGAGAAUGAAGGGGAUCGCUCUCAUGCCACCUUACCAGGUCCAUUCAGCACACCCUGGGAGUGUUUGCAAGCAUCAGCAGCAGAGGACGGAGAGGGCCUCUAUCUGUCACAACAGACUGUAAUCUCCAACGGGAAACAGGAACAAAAAGUAAACACAUAUUGCUUUACACAAGCAAAACUUGGCUCGGAGGUCUUCACAGAGGAGAUGGAAAUGGCCUCCUUAGCCUCAGUAGGGUGAGAAGAAGAAACAAAAGAAACACAGAUCAGGCAGCUGAUGUGUGAUCAUCCUCCUCCAGCAAAUAUCCUGCUCCUCCUCCUGCUCCUUGAGGUCACCCAACAAGUGCACUGGAGAGAAGACCUUCAGAUCUGAAAAGGUGCCACAGGUCCACAUCCUCCCCAUGGUAUCACCUCUAUAUACGACAUCUCUGGUUAUCGAUCAGAGCAUAAGCAAGG